CCUACGGGAGGCUGCAGUGGGGAAUAUUGGACAAUGGGCGAAAGCCUGAUCCAGCAAUGCCGCGUGAGUGAUGAAGGCCUUCGGGUUGUAAAGCUCUUUUACCCGGGAUGAUAAUGACAGUACCGGGAGAAUAAGCUCCGGCUAACUCCGUGCCAGCAGCCGCGGUAAUACGGAGGGAGCUAGCGUUGUUCGGAAUCACUGGGCGUAAAGCGCACGUAGGCGGAUACUCAAGUCGGGGGUGAAAGCCCGGGGCUCAACCCCGGGACUGCCCUUGAAACUGGGUAGCUAGAAUCUUGGAGAGGCGAGUGGAAUUCCGAGUGUAGAGGUGAAAUUCGUAGAUAUUCGGAAGAACACCAGUGGCGAAGGCGACUCGCUGGACAAGUAUUGACGCUGAGGUGCGAAAGCGUGGGGAGCAAACAGGAUUAGAUACCCCAGUAGUC
rnacentral:rRNA from 1 species